GUGGGAAACUGCCUGCAAAAUACAGAGGAUAACCAAUUUUCAUAGCAGUAAAAAAAAUGGAAGGUUCCGAAAGAAAAAGAAGUUAUGUAGUAUCUAAAUGUUUAUUCAAUCUGAUUUUUCUAAGUAAUAACUUCCAAAGAGACAUUAAUUUUUAAAAGUUUAAUAUACUAGGGAGAGGAUCUCAAGCAGCUAACAAAAGAUUUUUCAAAUAUUAUUAAAAUCAAAGAAUGAAAAUGUAAAGUGGAGAUUUUAAAGUUACACAAGGAAUUCAUUGCUCUCACUAUUCAGAAAAUUUAGAAGUAUAUAACUCUUUAAUGAAAGAUUUUCUUUUAUCACAAUAGACUGCCUAGUAUUUUUGAACAUAGACCUUUAUAAGACAUGAUGACAGCUUAAAAGAAUCCUAUGUCUUUUAAUGGAUCCUAAAGCCCUGGAACCAGGACUGGCAAACUUUUUCUACAAAGGACUAGAUGAACCAUUCCAAUUCUCUUCUACCUAUUUUGAAAUACAGUACAAGCUAUAGUCAUCCUACUGAAGAUCUUAAAUCCUUUGAAAGAAUAAUUACCUUUUUGAACAGAGAACCAAUUUCAAAAUAGUGUGCACACACUUCAACUUUAGUGAAAUGUAAAAGCCAUCAUUAGCUUGGACCACAGAAAAACAAGCAGCAAGCCAUGCAUGGUGGAGAGCACCUAUAGUACCAGCUAUUCAGGAGGCUGAGGCAGGAUUACAUGAGCCCAGGAGUUAGAGGCCAGCCUGGGCAACAUAGUGAGACCCUAUCUCUUAAAAAAAAGAAAGAAAACAGGCAGCAGAAAAGAUCUGAACAGUGAGCAGUGUGCCAACCUCUAAUCCUAACAUUCAUAAAUUUAAAAAAAUAACACGAAACAUUUGUGUUUAGUAAAAUACCUAGAAUACACAGUAGCUUUGUGAGGAGGCACAUACGGGAUAUUUGUUUGAACUCAUAAACAGCACUGAAAUAGUGAAUAAGAAUUUGAAUGGUUAAGCACAAGAACUUUUUUUUAAGAGACAGAGUGUUGCUCUGUUGUACAGGCUGAACUCAAACUCCAGGGCUCAAGUCAUCCUCCUACCUCAGCCUCUGACGAAGCUGGGACUCCGGGCAUGCACCAAGAAGUCCAGGUAAGAAUUUUUUUAAUCCAUGUCUAAAAGCACUUACUCAGUCUGAAUCACAAACAAUUGUGAGGAAUAUCAUAUAUGGCUUAGAAUGCUUCAUGAUUUUUGGAAAGCAUUAUUUAAAUCUUUUGAAAGAAUUUUCAUUUAUUCUAAUUUUUAAACUAGAAAUAGUCUGAC
rnacentral:lncRNA from 10 species